rnacentral:rRNA from 1 species
CAGCUCCUACGUGAGUUGGCACCGGGAAAUUUCCAGUGGAACCUUGUUAGGCUGGAGAACCAGAUAUACAAGGUAGAAUUUCCAACUAAGGAGGAUCAACUUCGUAUUCUUAAGUUUGGCAUGUGCAGGGUUCCUAGCACUAAUAUUAUUCUCGAGUUUGACGAGUGGAAACAAAACGAACCACAGGGAGUACCUUUGGAAAAGGCUUGGGUCCGCUUCUCGGGUGCGCCAUCUAAGUCGUUAAAUCAUUUUCUCGUCACUUGGAGUUUGGUGUCUCUGAUUGGUAAGACGGAGAAGGUUGAUAUGCCCUUCACGCGUGCUAAUGGUGUGGCAAGGUUGAUGGUCGGUGUCAUCAGUAUUGACUUGUUACCCGACACGGUUCCAUGGACGCAUGACGGAAUUACAUAUAGUCUAGAACUUGAGAUUGAGGACACA